rnacentral:rRNA from 1 species
GACAGAGGUCUCGAGCGUUAGGCGGAAUCACUGGGCUUAAAGCGUGUGUAGGCGGGUCGGUAAGUACCUUGUGAAAUCCCACGGCUCAACCGUGGAACUGCUGGGUAUACUGCCGAUCUUGUGCAACCUAGGGGCGAGCGGAACAGAUGGUGGAGCGGUGAAAUGCGUAGAUAUCAUCUGGAACGCCAAUGGUGAAAACAGCUCGCUGGGGGUUUGCAGACGCUGAGACACGAAAGCCAGGGGAGCGAACGGG